GGAAGAUGGAAAAUCUAAGAAAAAUUCAAGAAGAAAUAUUGGAAAUUAAAAAAAAAAAAAAAACUAGAACAAAACCCAAAAACACCUUUGGUGGGCACUUUCGUGGCCUGGACUUGACUGAAGAAGGAAUCUAUGAAUUUGAGGUUAUCUUAAUAUUAACUACCAAAAUUGAAAAGCAAAGAGAAAAAAGACUGGGGGAAAAAGCAAAGCAGAAUAUUCAAGAACAGUGGUAUAAUUAUAAAAGUUACAGCAUAUGUGUAGUGGAAUAUAAGAAGGAGAAGAAAAAAAAUGUGGAAAAAAAUACAAUUGAGAAUUUCCCUAAAUUAAUACAAGUUACCAAACCACAAAUUCAAGAAGCUCAGGAACCACAAAAUAGGAUAAAUGCCCAAAACUCUAUAACUAGCCAUAGCAUAUUCAAUCCUCCGGAAAACAAAGGUAGAAAAAGUCUUGAAUGAAGCCACAAGAUGGGGUGGGGAGGAAGCUUCCCUGGAGAGGUGCUAGAGAGAUGAUGCCUAUAGAAAAGAUAAGAAUUGUAUUCAACUUAUCCUCAGAAACCAUGCAAAAAAAAUAGAAUGGAAAGAAAUAUUUAAAGUGUUGAGAAAAAAACCCCUACAAACUAUAAUAAUUCUGUAUCCUGCAAAAGUAUCCUUCAAACGUGAAAAGAAAUAAUUUCUCAAACAAAAAUUGAGUUUGUGAACAGUGGGCCUGCUCAGCAAGAAAUUUUCUGAAGUUCUUCAGAGAGAAGGAAAAUAAUGUGUUGGAAACUAAAACUUAAAUAAAGAAGAGAAGAACAACAGAGAGUAAAUGUAAAAC
rnacentral:lncRNA from 1 species